rfam:Pig phospholipid hydroperoxide glutathione peroxidase mRNA 2 complete cdses.
CUGGCACCCAUGACAGUCUGCCUAAAAACCAGCCCCUGGUGGGGCAGACUCGAGAACCUGGCGUG